rnacentral:lncRNA from 1 species
GAUGUCAAACCAAUAAACAAACUAACAACAUUGAGAAUCCCCCAAAAAUAUAGGGAAGAGAAUAGUCACUCAGAAAAGUUGCCGCUGCUUAUUCCAGUUCAGAGUUGCAAGUGGCUGAAGACCAUCUCGGCAGCUCAAGGUGCAAAAUGGAAACCAAACAUGAACAGGAUGCCAUUCCACUGCAGGGCACACUCAUAUCCAUAUCCACAUUCACUCAGACUGGGACAGUUUAGACAUGCCAAUCAUCUUAAUGUGCAUGUCUUUGGAAUGUGAGAUAAAACUGGGAGAAAAUUCACACAGACAUGGGGAGAAUGUGUAAACUCUACACAGAUAGUGCCCUGGCUGGGAAUCCUUUUUGUAUUUCUCAUUACUGUUAUAACAAUAUGUCAUCGAAUGAAACAAUGUUAUUUGAAGACUCGCUGUGAAUCAGAGUUAACAGAAGUGAAAGCACUGUGAAAGAAAUGAUACGCUGUAUGUAUGUGAUAAUAAAGAGAUUUGUUCUUUAUUUAUGAGGGCAGUAAAACUGAAAGCAAAUAGCAUAACAGUAGAGCCAAGGGACUUCAAACAAUUGUGGGGGAGAAUAUAACAAUUAGAAUUCUACCAAACCAUUAUUUUUUUAAAGUUAACCCAAUACAAAUAAAAACUUUUAAAUAUAUAACAAGAAGGUAGGGAUAAAAAUAAUGGUGUUACUACACCACAUAUGAAUGAUUUGGAUUUUCUUAUUAAAAGACAGAAAUAUUACACUAAAUGUAAAAACAAAAUGUUUUUCUGUACUGUUACAAAGAAAACACCCAAAAUGAAGUGGUAAAAAAUGUUAAAAACAAGAUGGUACAUAUAAACCCUUAGCUCCCAUAAUCUCUUUCUUUGUAACAUAUUUGAUAAAUAAUACCAGUAGAAAAAAUUGUUGAAUAAGUCACAAUACUUCAUUGACACCAUGAAAUAUUGCCUCCAUACAAAAGAAUGAUACAGUGCUAUGUCACUGGCUUUAAAAAUGUUCCCUAAAUAUUGUUAAUAAGUAAAACAAGAUUCCAAAAAGUGUUCAUAUUUGAUCUCAUUUUAUGUAUAAAAAUGUUGAAAAAAAUCCCAUAUAUAUUUACAUGUUAUUGUGGACAACAUACGAAAUACGUAAACCCAAGAUGUUAAUGUAGAUUAAGUAGCGAUUAUAUUGGUGAGUUAUUGAAGCAAGACAGAAACACU